AUGAUCACAACACCUCUAUUAAAAUGCUUAUGGAAGUUAUUUUUCCCAAGGUUUGGAGUCCCUAGAUACUUAAUGACUGAUGGUGGUUCACACUUUAUUCAUGGUGCUUUCCGUAAAAUGCUUGCCAAGUAUGAUUCUAACCAUAGAAUUGCAUCCCCAUAUCAUCCUCAGUCUAGUGGUCAAGUAGAACUUAGCAACAGAGAAAUAAAAUUGAUUUUACAAAAGACUGUCAAUAGGUAUCGAAAGAAUUGGUCCAAAAAAUUGGAUGAUGCACUUUGGGCCUAUAGAACAGCCUACAAAAAUCCUAUGGGUAUGUCUCCUUAUAAAAUGGUUUAUGGAAAGGCUUGUCAUCCGCCUCUUGAGUUAGAACAUAAAGCUUAUUGGGCAAUUAAAGAACUCAACUAUGAUUUCAAACUUGCUGGUGAAAAGAGGUUAUUUGAUAUUAGCUCACUAGAUGAAUGGAGAACCCAAGCUUAUAAAAAUGCCAAGCUAUUCAAAGAAAAAGUUAAAAGAUGGCAUGAUGAAAGAAUCCAAAAGCGGGAAUUCAAAGUGGGUGAAUUAUUUUAUUGUACAACUCUCUUUUUUAUUCUUUGCAGGAAAACUUCUCUCUAA
rnacentral:rRNA from 1 species